CGGGGUGUAGCGCAGUGGCUAUCGCGCUUCGUUCGGGACGAAGAGGCCGGUGGUACGAGUCCACUCACCCUGACCA
rnacentral:tRNA from 1 species